UGUGAGCCGCGGGCUAGGCUGGUCUUUGGUGUCUGCCUUUCAGAUGGUUGGCGCCAUAAGAGGGCCACGUGUGGGCAGGAAGAAGCAAAAGGCAGCUUAGUGAAUUGGAGACAACUGGAGGUGGUUUAUAAGGAUGGAGUGCAAAGGAAAUGCCCUUGCUGGGUUGUGGAGGUCAAGGAAAUGCUUGGCUCAUUACAGAAGUCAGCAGGGGUUUCCUCUUCUCUAAUCUUUGGAAGACCUUGAG